CCACCGGUAGCUCAGUCGGAAGAGCAUACAGAGCACAAUGGCACGUAGUCUACGAAGUUGAUUCUGUAGACGCUGGUUCGAGUCCAGCCCGGGGGG